GAAAUGCGAUAAGUAAUGUGAAUUGCAGAAUUCAGUGAAUCAUCGAAUCUUUGAACGCACAUUGCGCCCCUUGGUAUUCCAAAGGGCAUGCCUGUUUGAGCGUCAUUUGUACCUUCAAGCUUUGCUUGGUGUUGGGUGUUUGUCUCGCCUCUGCGCGCAGACUCGCCUCAAAACAAUUGGCAGCCGGCGUAUUGAUUUCGGAGCGCAGUACAUCUCGCGCUUUGCACUCAUAACGACGACGAUCCAAAAGUACAUUUUUACACUCUUGACCUCGGAUCAGGUAGGGAUACCCGCUGAACUUAA
rnacentral:rRNA from 1 species